AUAUCAAUAAGCGGAGGAAAAGAAACCAACCGGGAUUGCCUCAGUAACGGCGAGUGAAGCGGCAAGAGCUCAAAUUUGAAAUCUGGCCCCUCCGGGGUCCGAGUUGUAAUUUGCAGAGGAUGCUUCGGGUGCGGCCCCUGUCUAAGUGCCCUGGAACGGGCCGUCAGAGAGGGUGAGAAUCCCGUCUUGGGCAGGGUGCCCGUGCCCGUGUGAAGCUCCUUCGACGAGUCGAGUUGUUUGGGAAUGCAGCUCUAAAUGGGUGGUAAAUUUCAUCUAAAGCUAAAUACCGGCCGGAGACCGAUAGCGCACAAGUAGAGUGAUCGAAAGAUGAAAAGCACUUUGAAAAGAGAGUUAAACAGCACGUGAAAUUGUUGAAAGGGAAGCGCUUGCGACCAGACUCGGCCCCGGGGUUCAGCCAGCACUCGUGCUGGUGUACUUCCCCGGGGGCGGGCCAGCGUCGGUUUGGGCGGCCGGUCAAAGGCCCCAGGAAUGUGUCGCCCUCCGGGGCGUCUUAUAGCCUGGGGUGCAAUGCGGCCAGCCCGGACCGAGGAACGCGCUUCGGCACGGACGCUGGCGUAAUGGUCGCAAACGACCCGUCUUGAAACACGGACCAAGGAGUCUAACAUCUACGCGAGUGUUCGGGUGUCAAACCCGUACGCGCAGUGAAAGCGAACGGAGGUGGGAGCCCCGCAAGGGGCGCACCAUCGACCGAUCCUGAUGUCUUCGGAUGGAUUUGAGUAAGAGCGUAGCUGUGGGGACCCGAAAGAUGGUGAACUAUGCCUGAAUAGGGCGAAGCCAGAGGAAACUCUGGUGGAGGCUCGCAGCGGUUCUGACGUGCAAAUCGAUCGUCAAAUUUGGGUAUAGGGGCGAAAGACUAAUCGAACCAUCUGGUAGCUGGUUCCUGCCGAAGUUUCCCUCAGGAUAGCAGUAACGCGGAUCAGUUUUAUGAGGUAAAGCGAAUGAUUAGAGGCAUUGGGGUUGAAACAACCUUAACCUAUUCUCAAACUUUAAAUAUGUAAGAAGCCCUUGUUUCUUAGUUGAACGUGGGCAUUAGAAUGGAGCGUUACUAGUGGGCCAUUUUUGGUAAGCAGAACUGGCGAUGCGGGAUGAACCGAACGCGAGGUUAAGGUGCCGGAAUGCACGCUCAUCAGACACCACAAAAGGUGUUAGUUCAUCUAGACAGCCCGACGGUGGCCAUGGAAGUCGGAAUCCGCUAAGGAGUGUGUAACAACUCACGGGCCGAAUGAACUAGCCCUGAAAAUGGAUGGCGCUCAAGCGUGCUACCCAUACCUC
rnacentral:rRNA from 1 species